rnacentral:rRNA from 1 species
AAUCCCGUUGAUCCUGCGGGAGAUUGCUGCUAUAGGAAUUCGAUUUAGACAUGCAAGUCAGGGGUUCUUCGGAACACCGGCGAAAGGCUCAGCAACACGUCGAUAAUCUGCCCUUAGGUUCAGGAUAAGGACGGGAAACUGUCUCUAAGACUGAAUAUGGAAUUUGUGCUGGAAGGCUAUUUUCCUGAAACGUAAGGCCUAAGGAUGAGUCGGCGGCUGAUUAGUUUGUUGGUGAGGUAAUGGCUCACCAAGACUGAGAUCAGUAGGGGAGAUGAGAGUCUAAGCCUCGAGAAGAGAACUGAGAUACUGUCUCUAGCCCUAAGGGGUGCAGCAGUUACGAAAACUUUACAAUGCACGAAAGUGUGAUAAGGGAAUUCCUAGUGCUCAUACUUUGUAUGGGCUUUUGUUAAGUGUAAAAAGCUUAGCGAAUAAGUGAUGGGUAAGACCGGUGCCAGCCGCCGCGGUAACACCGGCGUCACGAGUGGCAAUCAUGAUUAUUGGGCCUAAAGCGUCCGUAGCCGGUUUGAUAAAUUUCUUGUGAAAUUGUUUGGCUCAACCAAACAGCGUGCAAGAAAGACUGUCAGACUUGAAACCGGGAGGAGCUAGAGGUAUUCCAGGGGGAGCGGUAGAAUGCUAUAAUCCCUGGAGGACCACCUAUGGCGAAGGCUUCUAGCUAGAACGGAUUUGACGGUGAGGGACGAAAGCCAGGGGAGCGAUCCGGAUUAGAUACCCGAGUAGUCCUGGCUGUAAACGCUGCGAGCUAGGUGGUGCAUGUUCUUAGUGGACAUGCGGCGCCUGAGUGAAGACGUUAAGCUCGCCGCCUGGGAAGUAUGGCCGCAAGACUGAAACUUAAAGGAAUUGGCGGGGGCUCACUACAAGGAGUGCGGCGUGCGGUUUAAUUGGAUUAUACGCCGGAAAUCUCACCAGGAGCGACGGCAGGAUGAAGGUCAGAUUGAAGGUUUUACCUGACAAGCCGAGAGGUGGUGCAUGGCCGUCGUCAGUUCGUGCCGUAAGGUGUCAUGUUAAGUCAUGCAACGAACAAGACCCAUGCUUACAUUUGCUAACAUACUCUGUGAAUGAGCACAAUGUAGGGACUGCCUUCGAAAGGAGGAGGAAGGUUUGGGCAACGAUAGGUCAGUAUGCCCCGAAUCUCCUGGGCUACACACGCGCAACAAUGGUAAGGACAAUGGGCUGCAACUCUGAAAAGAGAAGCUAAUCCUCGAAACCUUAUCUUAGUCUAGAUUGAGGGCUGUAACUCGCCCUCAUGACAAUGGAAUUCCUAGUAAUCGGACUUCAAUACGGUCCGGUGAACACGUCCCUGAGCCUUGCACACACUGCCCGUCAUCCCAGCCGAGCAGGGUUUAGGUGAGGAGUAGUUUUUUGAUUAUUUCGAACCUGAAUUCAGUGAGGAGGGGCAAGUCGUCACAAGGUAGCCGUAGGGGAACCUGCGGCUGGAUCACCUCCU